UACGUAGGGUGCAAGCGUUGUCCGGAUUUAUUGGGCGUAAAGAGCUCGUAGGCGGUUUGUCGCGUCGACUGUGAAAGCCCGGGGCUCAACUCCGGGUCUGCAGUCGAUACGGGCAGACUAGAGUCCGGUAGGGGAGACUGGAAUUCCUGGUGUAGCGGUGAAAUGCGCAGAUAUCAGGAGGAACACCGGUGGCGAAGGCGGGUCUCUGGGCCGAUACUGACGCUGAGGAGCGAAAGCGUGGGGAGCAAACAGG
rnacentral:rRNA from 1 species